rnacentral:misc_RNA from 1 species
AACGCACAUUGCGCCCCCUGGCAUUCCGGGGGGCAUGCCUGUCCGAGCGUCAUUUCUGCCCUCAAGCCCGGCUUGUGUGUUGGGCGUGGUCCCCCCGGUUUCGGGGGGGACCUGCCCGAAAGGUAGCGGCGACGUUCCGCCUAGGUCCUCGAGCGUAUGGGGCUUUGUCACCCGCUCGGGAGGGGCCUACGGGCGUUGGCCAUCCACCCAUUUUUUUACGGUUGACCUCGGAUCAGGUAGGAGUUACCCGCUGAACUUAA